AGCAGUAGCCACGGUAAAACAGAGGGUGCGAGCGUUAAUCGGAUUUACUGGGCGUAAAGCGUGCGUAGGCGGCUUUUUAAGUCGGAUGUGAAAUCCCUGAGCUUAACUUAGGAAUUGCAUUCGAUACUGGGAAGCUAGAGUAUGGGAGAGGAUGGUAGAAUUCCAGGUGUAGCGGUGAAAUGCGUAGAGAUCUGGAGGAAUACCGAUGGCGAAGGCAGCCAUCUGGCCUAAUACUGACGCUGAGGUACGAAAGCAUGGGGAGCAAACAGGAUUAGAUACCCCCGUAGUCCCUGUCUCUUAUAC
rnacentral:rRNA from 1 species